rnacentral:rRNA from 1 species
CGGUAGCUAAAUGCGGAAGAGAUAAGUGCUGAAAGCAUCUAAGCACGAAACUUGCCCCGAGAUGAGUUCUCCCUGACUCCUUGAGAGUCCUGAAGGAACGUUAAAGACGAUGACGUUGAUAGGUCGGGUGUGUAAGCGUAGCGAUACGUUGAGCUAACCGAUACUAAUGAACCGUGAGGCUUAACCUUACAACGCCGAAGGUGUUU